CAUUUCACAGCUACUGCUGCAUUUCAGAGCCUGAUCCAACAAUCCUGCUUAAUGACAGCAUCAAACAAACAUCCUCUAAAGAAGUUUAUCACUCUCAGGUACCAAUGUCCUGGCAGUCCUAGUGCACCGGGAAAGAUAAGAUGAAAUACUGGGGUCCAUGACAGAACUUAGCCUCAGUGGUUUUACAAGAGGGGACUGAUGUUGAGCUGACUACAGUCCCAGAAGAAGUGAGGAAAAGAUGAUCUGCUGUGGGAAAGACCACAUUGUGCCACGUAUAGGAGACAGAUAGCAAGAAUAUACUAACUGUGUAAUGAGAAAAGGUCCAAAAUAAAGAAAAGGGGAAGGCUAAA